AGCUUUGCACAGUGGCAGUAUCAUAGCCAAUGAGGUUUAUCCGAGGCACGAUUAUUGCUAAUUAAAUAUCUCACAUAUUUAGGAUUUAAGUAGCUUUAAGCAGAAAAUUAGAGCUCACAUGGCAUUGCUCAUAUUUAGGAUCUCUGAGUCUCAGAGGCAUGCAGUUUAGUAAUUUAUGUCUUUUCAGGC
rnacentral:snRNA from 1 species